rnacentral:rRNA from 1 species
UACGUAGGGUGCAAGCGUUUGUCCGGAAUUAUUGGGCGUAAAGAGCUCGUAGGCGGUCUGUCGCGUCUGCUGUGAAAACUCAGGGCUUAACCCUGAGCUUGCAGUGGGUACGGGCAGACUAGAGUGCGGUAGGGGAGACUGGAAUUCCUGGUGUAGCGGUGAAAUGCGCAGAUAUCAGGAGGAACACCGGUGGCGAAGGCGGGUCUCUGGGCCGUAACUGACGCUGGAGGAGCGAAAGCCAUGGGGGAGCGAACAGG